GGUAAUCCUGCACAACUGGAGUGGCUGCACUCUCAGGACCGCAUUUUUAGGACCGCAUCUUUAGGACCCUAGUUUUUUGUGACAGCGUCACCUGUCGGAUUGGAUCAUGGAUGCGCUAAUGGACGACACGGAUGACAAGGAAAGUGCCAUCGUACAUCCUCUGGGUGUCUUGAGGAGCUGGUCUUUGGAUAAUGCUGAGCAGGUCUUUCUUUCUGGUAAAGAUUAUCAUUACAGUGAAGUAAAAGAAUUUAACAGACAGAUUGACAAACAACUGACGAAAGAAGAGAGACGAUUCAAUAGUCCCUUUAUUUAUCAGGGGUUGCCACAGCAGAAUGAACCGCCAACUUAUGCAGCAUAUGUUUUACACAGCGGAUGCCCUUCCAGCUGCAACCCAGUACUGGGAAACACCCAUUUACACUCAUACACUUGAACAUGGGGAGAACCUGCAAACUCCACACAGAAAUGACCACUGGCCCAGCCGGGGCUUGAACCAGCAACCUUCUUGCUGUGAGGCGACGGUGCUAACCACUGUGCUGCCCUAUGUGCUCUAUGCGGAGGCCUCUAGAGAUCGUGACCUGUGAAGAGAUGAUGCCA
rnacentral:lncRNA from 1 species